CUUAGUCAUGAUGUUAGUUUUCCUAAAAAUAACUUUACCUUUGUGGAUUGUUUGUCAGCAUUACCAGAAAAACUAACCCUAAAAGUAUUUUUAUUUGCAUUUCUAUUACUAUAAAUAAUGAUGACUUUAAAUAACAUAUAGCUGAAAAUCAAAUUAUAUCUGGAAGACAGUUGAUUAGGGGUUGCUUUGUAAAUUUUUAUCAUAUUACCAAUUUAUAUAAAUACUCAAUAAUAUCAAGCAAUUUCUAAGGCAAGAACAGCUCCCAAGUAAACCUAUUUUAUUAAUAAAAAAUUCAAGUCUCUCUUUUGAUUUUCACUCACAGCAAACAAGACCUUUGUUUUAAAAGGUUUCAUUCAAAAGUUCCCUGCACAGCAAAGUGCAUGGCACUCAAUUUAUCUACCUAGAAGAAGAUGAAGGGCUUAACUGGCCCUCUGUGAUUGGAAACUCUGGCUUUAGGAAGUCUCCUAGAAAUACAGCCUGGGUGACUGACAUGGACCUGACAGAGGAACUAGUAUUUCACCUAUGAAACCUUGACUAUAAUGAGACUAUGCCCACCCUGUAUUUUUCACUUCGUUUUCAGACCAAGAUUGAUUUCAACCAGCUAUUUUUCAAAUUUUACCUUAAAACAGGCCUUUUUGGGAACACUGACAAUUGCAUUCCCUGUGGAAGUGAGAAGAACUAAAGGAGUUUUUGCAAAGAUUACUGAGGUUAUUCUUAUUCAAUCACCCAACAUCUCUAUGGGUAUGAUUUCUCUUAUUAUUCCAAUUUUGCAGAUGGUUAAGGUUUUUGUGGCCUGUAUGUUUAAAUAAAGUUCUUUUCAGAGCUUUUAGGAGUGUUUGAGGGAUAAUUAUACAAUGGAGACCUUAGAGUUUGGUUUCCUGGGGUCUUACCCUUCCUCUACAUUUCUCAUUUCUUUUUGAAGAAUUGAGUAGAUCCUGUUACAAAGGCAUGAGAAAAUAGAAUGUUUUUACCACAAUACAACCUUCUUGAGG
rnacentral:lncRNA from 1 species